rnacentral:rRNA from 1 species
GACGAACGCUGGCGGCGUGCUUAACACAUGCAAGUCGAACGGAAAGGCCCUGCUUUUGUGGGGUGCUCGAGUGGCGAACGGGUGAGUAACACGUGAGUAACCUGCCCUUGACUUUGGGAUAACUUCAGGAAACUAGGGCUAAUACCGGAUAGGAGCUCCUGCUGCAUGGUGGGGGUUGGAAAGUUUCGGCGGUUGGGGAUGGACUCGCGGCUUAUCAGCUUGUUGGUGGGGUAGUGGCUUACCAAGGCUUUGACGGGUAGCCGGCCUGAGAGGGUGACCGGCCACAUUGGGACUGAGAUACGGCCCAGACUCCUACGGGAGGCAGAAGUGGGGAAUAUUGCACAAUGGGCGGAAGCCUGAUGCAGCAACGCCGCGUGCGGGAUGACGGCCUUCGGGUUGUAAACCGCUUUCGCCUGUGACGAAGCGUGAGUGACGGUAAUGGGUAAAGAAGCACCGGCUAACUACGUG